UUCAUUAGUCAUAACUGAACAAAACCUUCUCUUUAAAUUUGUCACCCAAAUGCCACAUCUCAUUCUUCACAUCAUUGAAACACCAAUUCAUCUCUACAAUUUCUCUACAAAUAGCCCAUACAAUUUCAUAAACAAAAUUACCUUGCUUCUAAUUGUAGUUUUAUCAACCAAAAACCAUGGAAUGCACUCACCUUUUUAUCCCUGUAAUUUCGAUCUUGAACCACCACCACCCCUAACCACCACAAUCACCAAUUCACCACCGCAUACCCACCGUACCCCCCCUUCUCCCUCUUCUCCCCCUCGCAGUCCCAUGCCCCUCCCCUGUUUCCUCCCCCUUCUUUGCCUCGCUGCACCACCACCGUCACGCCCCACCACCUUCAGUCACCUCCACCCUCGCCGCCGAGUUGUCCCCUCCCUUCGCCCAGAACCACCACACCAAGAAUCCCCUGCUUCUUUUUUUCGCACGACCGUUUCCUCUCUUGCCUCGCUGUAUCGCCGCGGCAAACCACCCACCCUCACUGCCACCUUUACCGGCGCAGGCUUGCGACGCCGAACCACCUAGCCCAGCCGCCUCCUCUCCUCCUCUCUUUCCCCCUUCGUGCCUCCCCUGUUUCGGCCCCCUUCCCCUGCUCGCGUUCCUUUCCCAGUAAACCUAAAAUUGAGUUUCAAUUGUGAAACCUUGCUUUGUCAUCCACAUUCAAUUUUAGGAUUGUGCCUUUCAAUUUGGGCCUAUGAAAUUGGACUCGGAGCUCAGGACGAACGAACCAGCGAAAAUCCUUAGCCAAAAUCGUGGAAGUGAGGUACUGCUGGGAACGAUGGAAACGAGUAGUGGCGAGGAUUUCACUUUAAUAUUAUUCACCUAGUUUAUGCUUAAUGCUUUAAUAGUUUAAUUAAAGACUUUUAGUAAGUGAUGUACCUUAAUUUUGGGAAUAUAAAGGAUUAUUAUAUUA